UCCGGCGUAUAACUAUUUCAUAAAAAUAAAAUAAAUUAAAAAGUCCACAUGGGAAUUGUUUGUGAUUCGCUGGGUUUAACCAAUCAUUGUACUUCCACCUACCAAUGAAAUGAGUUCUAGCCAAUCAGAUGCAAAGUAGCCCUGCUCUUUGCCAAAAAGCAUUAGUGUGGUGUUGUCUCUGUGGUAACGUGGUUAAAAAACUUGAGGCAAAGUUUAUCAAGCAUGUAGAUACAGCUUUAGUUGAAAAAGGAGUUAAAAACAAAUGACGCUGGCAUGAAUACAGGACAAGAGGAAAAGGUUGGAGACGGGAAGCUGUUCAGCACUUAGUGCCUCAAAUUGAGGUAGCCGGGAAACUGUCUAUGGAGC